AAAGGUGACGAAAGUGCUGGUGUACACCUCUUCCCAUUCCGAACAGAGUAGUUAAGCCCAGUAGCACCGAUGGUACUUCAGUAAUAUGCGGGAGAGUAGGUGGUCGCCAUUU
rnacentral:rRNA from 1 species